CAGCUAGCUUAUACACCAAUAUAACCAAACAAUAUAAAUAAUAUAGAAUAGGCCAGACACCAAAACUUAAACCAUUCUUUUACCUGAGUAUGGGAGACAGAAAAGGUUCAACCAAAGCAAUAGAAAGAGUACCGCAAGGGAAAGCUGAAAGAGAAAUGAAACAACCCAUAUAAGUACUAAAAAGCAAAGACUAAACCUUGUACCUUUUGCAUCAUGAUUUAGCCAGUAAACACAAGCAAAGAGACCUUUAGUUUGAAACCCCGAAACCAGGUGAGCUACCCCGAGACAGCCUAUUAAGGGCCAACCCGUCUCUGUGGCAAAAGAGUGGGAAGAGCUCCGGGUAGAAGUGACAGACCUACCGAACCUGGUGAUAGCUGGUUGCCUAAGAAAUGGAUAGAAGUUCAGCCUCGUGUACCUCAAAUCAAAUAAGCACUAAUCAAGAUAGCAGGAGAAAAACACGAGAGUUAGUUGAAGGGGGUACAGCCCCUUUAACCAAGGAUACAACCUUAUCCAGGAGGAUAAAGAUCAUAAUAUAUAAAAUAUACUGUUCUAGUGGGCCUAAAAGCAGCCACCUAGAUAGAAAGCGUUAAAGCUCAGACAGGAAGAAGUUUAUUAUUCUGAUAAAAAAUCUUACUCCCCUAAAUACUAUUAGGCUAAUCCAUGCCCCCAUGGAAGAAAUUAUGCUAAAAUGAGUAACAAGAAGGCCCGCCCUUCUCCAAGCACAAGUGUAAGCCAAACCGGACCAACCAUUGGCAACUAACGAACUCAACCCAAGAGAGUAAUGUGAAUUAUAAAAAAAUCAAGAAAAAUCCACAACUAAACGAUCGUUAACCCCACACUGGAGUGUUAUUAAAGGAAAGACUAAAAGAAAAGGAAGGAACUCGGCAAACACAAGCCUCGCCUGUUUACCAAAAACAUCGCCUCCUGCGACACAACCAUGUAUAGGAGGUCCAGCCUGCCCAGUGACUACAAGUUCAACGGCCGCGGUAUUUUGACCGUGCAAAGGUAGCGCAAUCACUUGUCUUUUAAAUAGAGACCUGUAUGAAUGGCUAAACGAGGGCUUAACUGUCUCCCCUUUCAAGUCAGUGAAAUUGAUCUGCCCGUGCAGAAGC
rnacentral:rRNA from 1 species